GAUGAACGCUGGCGGCGUGCUUAACACAUGCAAGUCGAACGAUGAAGCCCAGCUUGCUGGGUGGAUUAGUGGCGAACGGGUGAGUAACACGUGAGUAACCUGCCCUUAACUCUGGGAUAAGCCUGGGAAACUGGGUCUAAUACCGGAUAGGAGCGUCCACCGCAUGGUGGGUGUUGGAAAGAUUUAUCGGUUUUGGAUGGACUCGCGGCCUAUCAGCUUGUUGGUGAGGUAAUGGCUCACCAAGGCGACGACGGGUAGCCGGCCUGAGAGGGUGACCGGCCACACUGGGACUGAGACACGGCCCACACUCCUACGGGAGGCAGCAGUGGGGAAUAUUGCACAAUGGGCGCAAGCCUGAUGCAGCGACGCCGCGUGAGGGAUGACGGCCUUCGGGUUGUAAACCUCUUUCAGUAGGGAAGAAGCGAAAGUGACGGUACCUGCAGAAGAAGCACCGGCUAACUACGU
rnacentral:rRNA from 1 species